rnacentral:rRNA from 1 species
GACGAACGCUGGCGGCGUGCUUAACACAUGCAAGUCGAACGGAAAGGCCCUGCUUUUGUGGGGUGCUCGAGUGGCGAACGGGUGAGUAACACGUGAGUAACCUGCCCUUGACUUUGGGAUAACUUCAGGAAACUGGGGCUAAUACCGGAUAGGAGCCCCUGCUGCAUGGUGGGGGUUGGAAAGUUUCGGCGGUUGGGGAUGGACUCGCGGCUUAUCAGCUUGUUGGUGGGGUAGUGGCUUACCAAGGCUUUGACGGGUAGCCGGCCUGAGAGGGUGACCGGCCACAUUGGGACUGAGAUACGGCCCAGACUCCUACGGGAGGCAGCAGUGGGGAAUAUUGCACAAUGGGCGGAGGCCUGAUGCAGCAACGCCGCGUGCGGGAUGACGGCCUUCGGGUUGUAAACCGCUUUCGCCUGUGACGAAGCGUGAGUGACGGUAAUGGGUAAAGAAGCACCGGCUAACUACGUG